CCACGCCUCUCGCCCCCUCUCCUUCCCGUUCGCGAGACAGCCCGAGAAUCCGCUCUCCCUUGUCGCGAAGUGGGCAGAGGUCCCCCAUGAAAAGCUUCUGAACCCUGGCGCUCCCUUGUCGCUUCUCGCUUCCGCUGCCGUCGCCGACCUAGCCGUUGUCGUCGCCGACCUGACUCCCUGUCGCUACCUCCUCUGCUGUACUGCCGAGCUUUCCUGUGAUCUUCAACUUCGACUCACCCCAGGUAAGUUAAGGUGAGCUUUCUCCUCCUCUCUUGGCUAUAUAAGCCUCUCUUGGGGAGCGAUUUAAGGCUGGCCGAAAUUUUGAAGGAGAGGGGAGGUGCUGCCCGAUUGCUUCUAGACCUACUCUUGCUUUUCUUGUGUGCUCUACACCAAGUGGUAACCUCCCCCAUUAAUCAUUCGAUCUGCUUGCUUGGUUGUCGGUAUUCUUGUUUGGUGGCUCAAUUUUCUUGCUUAAUUGCCUGUUCGGCUGCCAAGAGUAGGCGUCAAACAUAUUCUCCAAGUAGUUGCAUCAAAGGAGGGCUGGAAUGGUUGAAAAAGCUAUGAACUUGUUGAAACUACGUCAUUGAAGGCUGAUGUAUGUAUGUGGGGAAAUUUUGCUAAGUUCUUGUAAAGCAGGCUUUCAAAAUUCAAAAAACAACAGGCAUUGCCCAUCACAUUUUCAACUGACGAGCAACCAUUGGUUCUUCGUCAUGCUGACGGGCAACCAUCGGUUUCUUGCCAUGCAAGAACCGACAAAUAAGUCUUGAUCGAAAACCAUAGCCGUUGCUUUUUUCAAGAAUCGAUGGCAAUGUCAUUAUUUCUAAUAGGCUAAGGCUGCCGAAAAUUCAUGAAAAUCUUGUUGUGUGCUCAGUUCUCAAUGGCGGCAUUGCGAGAUCAGAUAGCGGACGAAAUUGCUCGAUCAUGCCGUUGUUUCUCGUGGGUACUUAACUUUAUUUUCGAAUAUGAAAUUAUAAACAGGGAAAACAAUUCAUUUUUUUUUAUCCAUAGUUUCUCCACUUUUGUGUUUGUCUUGUAUUGGCUUCGAGUUUGUAAAUUUUGGUCAUUGGAUACUGUUGGAAGGAGUUUUACUGUUUAU